CGAGAAUUGAGACCCCAGCAGCGGUGACAUCGGGGUCAGGAAAGUCGAAAUCAGUGCGAAUGCCGGUGCACACAAUGUCCCAAAGAUCCGCAGUAAGACGCGUAGAACGAAUGAGGUCAAACGCAAGUUUCUUACAAACGGCAGAAGCAGGGGAAGCUACGAUCUCCUCAACGGCGGACUUGGCGAUGACGGAGAUGUCCCGGCCGGCGGCGGAUUGCUGCAGGGCCUGGAGGAGAGCGCCGGAUUGGCGAAGGGCAUCGUUGGAGCGAAG
rnacentral:misc_RNA from 1 species